rnacentral:misc_RNA from 1 species
CCGGUUGCGCGCGGCCGCUCUCUUCGAGCGCCGUUUCGUGCAGACCCUUGCCUAUUCGCACCUCCUGUUAUCCCCUCGGCGGGGCGACCCGCCGACGGGGCCCAUCCAAACCCCCCUUGCACGCAGCGAUCCCAAUCUGAACUGAACCGAAAAGUCA